rnacentral:rRNA from 1 species
UGGGGAAUUUUGGACAAUGGGCGAAAGCCUGAUCCAGCCAUGCCGCGUGAGUGAAGAAGGCCUUCGGGUUGUAAAGCUCUUUUAGUCGGAAAGAAAGAGUUGCAAUGAAUAAUUGUGAUUUAUGACGGUACCGACAGAAAAAGCACCGGCUAACUACGUGCCAGCAGCCGCGGUAAUACGUAGGGUGCGAGCGUUAAUCGGAAUUACUGGGCUUAAAGGGUGCGCAGGCGGUCUUGCAAGUCAGAUGUGAAAGCCCCGGGCUUAACCUGGGAAUUGCGUUUGAAACUACAAGGCUAGAGUGCAGCAGAGGGGAGUGGAAUUCCAUGUGUAGCAGUGAAAUGCGUAGAGAUGUGGAAGAACACCGAUGGCGAAGGCAGCUCCCUGGGUUGACACUGACGCUCAUGCACGAAAGCGUGGGGAGCAAACA